UCUUCAUAUGUAGCCUUUAAUUCUUGAAACUAUUCAUUAAUUUAUCUGCAUGCUGUAAAGUCACCACCAUUUUAGUUGUUAAAGCAUGCAUUUUCAAUUGAAUGACUCAGGUUGAUCUAGUUAAUGUCUAUCUGAUGAAUAGGUUUUAACUUUUACUUGAUGGUUAUGGUUAGUUUAUUUUAUUUUCACUUCCUCUGGGAGUUUGUUUCCCUUGAACAAUUUUUCUUUUCAUUAUAUCAAUGAGAAAUUGUUUCGUGUUCGAAUAAAAACUUGAUGGAUUGGGGUGGUUUAGGUCUUACAGGAUGUUCACAUCUAUGCCACCCUCGUAGGAUUAGAAUAAAAUAUCUUCUUUCCUCGGGCCUUAAUAUUUUUAAAGCUCCAUCAAGAUUCAAAAAAUAUGAAUUACCAUGAUGAAUUACAAUUUUAUGGGGAGAGAGAGAACAGAGUGUUGUGUUUAGAGGGGAUGAGAGGGACCCUAGUGAGUUGUGAUCCUGGUUAAGUUUUAUGUCUCUCUUUGAGCUUCAAUUUUGAAGACUUUUUGUAACUACUCCUUAGGUAAACAUUUUGAUGGGGUUUCGUAGGUUUGGUUAUUUUUUUUGUUUAAGCAUGUAUUCUUUCAUUUUUUUUUCUCGGUGAAGGUUGUUAUUGCUAUAUAAAAAAGGAAGAGAAAUUAGUAUUCUGACCUUAGAUAUCUUUUUUUUGGGGGUUCUUCAACUUUUCUUAGAUGAUGUCUGUCACGAUGCUGACCUUACUCUACCUUCCAACCCCACCUCUAAUGGCUCCCAAACCUUAACGUUGCUUCCAUAGCAGUCUAUAAGCCCACCAUUGCAACACCUAUUACUAGUAUAGAGCUAGUUUGUAGCACUCACAUUCAUGCGUGGUAGUAGAACUGAAACUGGCAGACAGUAUUGCUAAUUCUGAUUCUUAUAGGGUGUUUGAAGUGCUAAGUUGGUUAUUAUUAUUAUUUUUUUUGAAACAGAAACAAGACUUCAUUGAUAUAAUGAAAGAGCCUAAUGUUCAAAGUACAUGAGAGGAAACAAAGUAUUAACUUCAAACAUGCCAAUACAAGGCAAUGGCCAAAAUACAACAUAAAGAUGAAUACUCUCAGGAAAAAUUAAAACAAUCCAAAUGAACACAUAACAAAAGAGAAAUCCACUAUCCAAAUGAACACUUAAACUUGAACAAGCCCGAAACAAAAAGAUGAAAAGCUUGCAAGGUUGAACUUGAAACUAAUGAAGACCGACUAAGCAUGAUUGCUGAAAAAUCAAGCCCAAAGAACAAUAAGACAGCUGCUGCAACAAACCAAAUGUUGAUAAGGAAGAACUCUGAACUUUGAGCUUGAUAGGGCAAGUAACCACUGCUGAGGAGCCUAAAAAAUACAACUUUGAUGUUGAGCAAAAAAAAAAAAAAAUCCCAUGACAUGAAAUCCCAAGCCAAAGAUAAGGAAACAUUCGCAAAGAUAAGAAAUACUGAAGCCACUAGCUGAUAAAAGCGAAGAACGUUGCUAAAUAAGCUUUGAAGAAGAAAUGCACCAAAAGAGCUGGGAUGAAAAUCAAACUCCCAUCACAGAAUCAAACACUUUAAACCAAUUUAAUCAAAACCAGCAUCUUCAGAAGAAUAACCACAGAACUUUUCUGGAUAUAGAAGAAACACCGAGAAUUCAAAAUCUAGAAGAAUUAAAGUGAAUUGUGAUGAAUAACCCUUCUGUGCUUCAAACCAUGAGCUUCAAUUAAUAGUCCAUGGAUUACAAUGUUUCAAAAGGCUAAAGGCGCCUGAAGCAUUUUCUCAUAGAGAGACGAGACGUAAGCCUCAUUUUAAAUUAAGAAAAUAUAUUUAAAUCAUAAAACAUAAAAUCUCAUAUAUUUUUAACAUUAUAAUAUUCCUUAAAAGUACAUAACAUACUAAAAAAAAAUCAAGAUAUAGAAAAAAAAAUCUCAAUAUUCCACCAAAAAAAAGUACAAAAGAUGUGUACUUGAAUAGGAUCGAUACAAGAUACAGUAUCAAGAGACACACCCGGGCAUCUCAACUAGGUCGACACCCCCUUAGCGUCCUCAUCAUAUCCAUAGAACUCAGACAAAGACGGAAAAUAUGAAGCUUACAGAAUAUUUGAAAAAACAGAGAAAACAUCCUCUUUUUUAAGGCCAAAAUACAAGCCAAAAGGGAAACAAGAGAAUCAUAAAAUAAACCUAGCUACUUGAGUCUUCAAAAUUGGGUAGUAAUGAUCCUUCUCCUUGAAACAUAUUCAAACUGGGAAGAUGAAUGCUUGCCAAUUCAAACAUAAAUCUUGAAGUGAGUAGGCUUCAAAGUGCUGUGAAAGAGAACACCAUUGAGAAGCAUUAAGUUUGGCGGCCUCAUGGUGGAAGAACCAAGUGUGUUCUUUAUCUUGAAAGAUUCUUUGAUUUCUUUCGAAUCAAAUUUCAACUAAUAUUGCUUUUACUGCAUUGCACCAAAUCAGAUUUGGGGCUUUUUUGAGGAUAGGACCAGUGAGUAACUGCUGAACAUUCUGUUUACAAGUAAAGUCGAACACCCAGCUGAUAUUGAAGGAUUUAAAAAGGACUAACCAACAAUUUCUUGCGAAGAAACAGUCAAAGAACAAGUGUUGCAAGUCAUCCCCUGCUGAUUUACAUAAAACACAUUGAUUCGGAGAAAUAAAAUGGGAGGGCAGCUUGUGUUGCAGAACUGAUGCACUGUUUAAGGAUCCAAACAGCAAGAUCCAGACUAUAAUGUUCACUCUUCGAGGGCUAUUGGUCUUCCACAAAGCUUUUAAAAGGUGGGUGUCAAUAGGUGAGGCCAAGGCAAGAUGGUUAGACAAUGAUUUUACCGUGAAUGAACCACUUGCUUCUAAAGACCAAGAUCGAGAGUCAGGUCUGGAAGAAGGCUUUAUGCUGGAAAUCAAGGAGAGCAAAGUCUGAAAUUCUGGUAUUUCUUCUUUUUUUAAUAGUCUUCUGAAGGACAGAGACCAAGAAAGUGUUUGUGAAUCCCAAUGGUCCAUAAUAGAACCAUUUUGGUUGGAAGCAACUCUAAAUAAAGAGGGAAAACUGAGUUUAAGGGGUGAAUUACCAACCCAAGAGUCGUGCCAGAAAGAAAAUCUGCUACCAUUUCCCAGUUUGAGGACAGCCAAGGCUUCUACUUUCAACCAGAUUUUUGAUAUGCUAAUCUAAGGACUUCGAAGGCUACAAAAGGACUUUUCGAGAGUGUGCCAAUCACCAAAACUUCUGCCAUGAAUACUCCUUAUUACUUGUGCCCAUAGAGAAGAAUUUUCAUGGAAAAAACGCCACCCCCAUUUGGCAAGAAGAGCCAAAUUUCUGUUUUUUAAACCUCCUAGUGCCAGCCCCCCAUCUUCAACUUUUUUUGAUACAAUUUCCCAUUUUGCCAAAUGAUUUAGUUUUCCUCCUUUAUGUCCUUCCCAAAAGAAAUUUCUCAUGAUUCUUUCCAUAGAAGAAAUGACCUUUUCUGGCAUUAAGAAAGAAGACAUAUAAUAGGUCGGUAGAUUUGAAAGCACCGAAUUGCAUAGAGUUGCUCUACCACCUCUUGAGAGGUUGUACCUUCUCCAUUUAUCGAGUUUACCCUGAAACUUGUCUAACACCGGCUGCCAAAAGUCUAUUUUCUUUGGAUAACCACCCAAAGGAAGACCUAAGUAUAAAAAAGGCAGAUUUACAGCCUAACCUUGAUGCCACAGCUUCUUGCUUGGAUUCUUCAAUAUUAAUUCCACAUAUGGCUGACUUUUCCCAAUUUAUUUUCUGACCGGAGCACCAUUCAUAUAAUGUAAGAGUUUUCCGGAGAAUCUCUAACAUUCCGUCGUCGUUUCUACAAAAUAAGAGGGUGUCGUCUGCAAAUUGGAGAAUUGAAAUAUGGAUAUUAUCCUUUCCUACCACAAAACCUUCAUACAAACCUUUUUCAUGAAUUCUUUUGAUCAAGGCUGAAAGUACUUCACUUAAAAGGAAAAGAAAAGGAGAAAGGGGAUCUCAUUGUCUAAUUCCUCUUGAUGGCAUUAUUCUUCCUCUAGGCCUUCCAUUGAUGAAUAUGGAGAAUUUAGGAUUGGAUAUACAGCCCAUAAUCCAAGAUAUCCAUUUUGAGUGGAAGCCUUUUUCAUGGAGAACUUUUUCAAGAAACUCCCAAUCAACUCUAUCAAAGGCUUUUUCCAAAUCAAGUUUUAGUAUCCAACCUUGCUUCUUUUUAGCUCUAUACUCCUCAACAGCCUCAUUGGCUAUAAGAAUUGGGUCUAGGAUUUGUCUUCCUUCGAUAAAGGUGCUUUGAGUGGAAUUUAUUAAGGUUGGCAUGAUCACCUUGAGCCUUUCCGCAAACACCUUAGCUAUUAUCUUAUAAAUAAUAGUAGAAAGGCUUAUAGGUCCAAAGUCUCUUAUCCUUACUGCUUCCUCCUUCUUUUGAAUUAAGCAAAUAAAAUUCUCCUUAAUACAAGAGUUGAGUUUACCGUUGAGGUAAAAUUCCUCGAAGACAUCUCUAAAACCAUCCUUAAACAAAUUCCAGAAAUGAAGAAUAAACUCUACUGUUAAACCAUCUGGUCCAGGAGCCUUGUUUUUACCUAAGGCUUGAAUAGCACUUUUAAUUUCUGCCAUGUUGAUUCUUGCAAUCAAAUGAGUGUUAUCUUCAGUUGAGACUUUUGACCAAGCCAUAUUUAAAGGAACUGAACGAGUACCUGAGUCCUUUGUGUAUAAAUUGGAGAAGAAAUCCAAUAUGAUAGUUUCAAUCUCUCUGUAAGAUUUGGUUGGCAAUCCUUGGUCGUUGAAUAAUUCAGCAAUAAGAUUCUUCCUUUUUUUAGCUGCAAGGAAACGAUGAAAAAAAGAAGUAUUCUCAUCACCCAAAAGAAGCCAAUUCAGUUUGCUAUUUUGGAUUAGGUCUCUUUCUUCUAUUUGGUAAAGAGAUAUUAGGUUAGCCUUUUAAGGAUAGUCUCACAUCUUCUUCUACUAAAAGGUUCUCAAAGCUAUCGGCUUGGAAGUAUUUUUCAUUGAUUUCUUUCAGCAGGGUUUCUUCUCUGAUUUUCUGUGUUUUUUCAUGCUCUGUCAGUUAUUUUUUAACACUCUGUUUUACUCUUCUUAGUCUGGAAUAUAAAGCAAACCCAACCCAAUCUUGCUGCCCUUUUAUCAACAAAGAAUUUUCAAUUAUCCGACAACAUUCCUUAUUUUUUAGCCAACUAUUGCAGAAUCUAAAAGGGGAAGGGCCCCACUCAAAAGUACCAGCUUCAAAAAAAAGGGAAAAAUGAUCGGAAAUGGUUCGAGCUUGUCUUGAUACUCUUGAAUUUUCAAAGAAUUCAUCAUUGAGAAACAAAAUAUCUGUCGAUGAGGGAUCUUGAUGGCAUUACUCCUUCUCUUGACCAAGAGAAUUUUCCAUUGGACAUACGGAUUUCAAUUAAACUUGAUUCUCAAAUAAACUUAUUGAAUUUUGUUAUUUCUCUUGUAGAUCUUUCUAUUGGAAAUCUUUCCUGUCUUCUUUGGAGGCAAUUAAAGUCCCCUCCAAGGCACCAUGGCUUAUCACAAGAUUCUAAUGUGGAAGACAAUUCAGCCCAAAGGCUGUCCCUUUCUCUGUAGCAAUUCGGACCAUACACAUUUGUUAUCCAACAACUUUUUCUACAAAUUGUUUGACAUUUUAAGGUCAGAGUAUGAUGCUUUUGAAAUUUCUGAAACUGAAAUUUUGGCUUCAUCCCACAUAGAUAGAAUACCUCUUGCCCUUCCCGAAGCUUCCACAAAAGCCCAACCUACUUCUUUAGAGCUCCAUAAGCUUUUAAUAAAAGGUAGAUCAAAGCUGUCUUUCUUUGUUUCUUGGAGAAGAACUAUAUCAGGGUUUAUUUUUUUCAAAAGUCUUCUGAUUGCCAAUCUUUUAUUUCUGUCACCAAGCCCUCUGAUGUUCCAUGAGAUGAUCUUCAUACUGCUAUUAAGGUUUAAUGAGCUUCAGACAAUGAUUACUCAAAAGUAAGUUCACAUUUUUCAAUUAGAGAAUUGAGCUCCUGAAGUAUGCAGUCUUUGUUAAUUUCUGUUGAAAACAGUGGAAUCUUCUUUUCAAUCUCCUGAACUUCCUCUGCUUGGAAGAGAAAUUUUAAAGCAUCCCCACUACCAAAAAGGUCUUUUGCUGAGAUUUGUUCAACUUCUUGAAUAUCUUUUUCAAUUUCUUCACUGCGUACACUUGUUAUUGAUGUGUUUUCGAAAUCAUGAGAGAGUCCAUGGAGUGGAGAGUCUUGUAAAAAAGAGGAACUUGGGUCUGAAGAAUUGGAAGAUGGCUGAUUUAAAGGAAGCCGAAUAAAAGAACAACUAUCUAACCUUUUUGAUUUGAAGUCUGGGAAUUGUAGCCUUAUGCAACCGUCCUCAAUUAAAUCCGAAUUAGAAAUGGAGGACCAUGACUUGAUAACUGACUUAUUCCUUCGCACAAAAUGAUUGGGGUAAGGUUUGAAAAGAUGUGAACCCUUUUCAGAGGUUGCUGGAGCUUCAAAGUCAAUAUCUUCCUUAUGAUGUUGAAGGGGUGUGACUUGUGUAGGGCUGACUGAAGAGGGAUUGGCUGCAGAAAUGGCUUCAAAAUCGAAGUUCUUUGCUGAAAUUUCCCCUGUUGUAACUGAUUUGAUGAGGUUUAAAUUGUCAAAUGUAGGAGAGAGAGUGCAACGACUCCUAUUAAAUGAGGGAGAGCCGUUUUUGUUUUGACUUUUCUGCCGAACAAAGGGGGGAUUUGAUAUGUAUUAAUUCCAUAGGUUCCUUCCCUUUCCUCAAUAAAUGUGGCUGUUCAGAUUCUUUAUCUACAAUUUCUCCAACCGGCUGUAUUAAUAAUUCCUUUUGCUGUAAAAAGAGUGGGAACUCUUCUACUUCCUCUGACACAUUCGAGAUCUUCUGAAAAGGGAGAUGAAAAGACUUCUCACUCUUAAGCCGAGGUGACUUUUGGCCUUCUUCUUGAUAAUUUCCUUCGCGGGCUUUUGAGAUAUUUAAAACUUCCUUGGGGUUUUGAAGUGUCUCUUCGAAUUCUUUUGCUAUUUUCUUGCAUAUUGAGUGUGGAUGUUGCUUCAAAGUUUGUUGAUCGGGACUCUUUAAUAAGGCUACAUAUGGAUUUCUUGCAAAUUUCGGCUUAGAAUCUGAGGAAAGAAGAAAGGACCAAUCUGAUCCAAACUCUUCAAAUUCUGCCCCUUCGUCUUUCAUGGCUUGUUGGACUCGAUAUAUAUCAAUUGGAUUGGAGAACUGGUUGAGAAUAAGAUCUCCUUUGCGAUUUUUGACAAGCUCAUCACAUUGUAUAUCGCCAAAAUUUAGAAAAAUGUUUCCACACUUUUCAUCUUUAAUUUCUAUGGUUGCUGGUAUGAAACCAUAGCUAUUCCUUCUUACUUUAAUUCUUGCUUCCGCACAAUUGAUGAAAUUAAGAGUAUCACUUGCUACACUUUCAAGUCCUCCGAAAUAUGCUCCUAUAGCUUCAAAUGUGGCUAUGCAUCAAUAAUCCAAAGGUAGGUUGUUUAUUGAGAUCCAAUCCCCAAAUCCUUUCGCUAUUGUAGGCCAUGCUUUUCUUUAUUCCAUCUUUCAAAUAAAAGAUGAUAAGGCCCUAUUGACUGCCAUUUUCCAGGUGCUUCAAUCAGAUCUUCUAGCUUCCCUUGGCUUAGCUUGAUUAAGGCUUUGUCUUCAAACAGAGGAUUGAUGAUAACUGAUGUAUGGAAGACUUGUUUCAAGUUUUCUUCUAUUUCCUUCCACUCAUUAAAAGCAAAGAGCUUGGAGAUGAUCAAAAGCUGGUUAAAGUUUUCUUUGAAUACCUCUUGGCUUUUCUGGACCCAAAAAGCUUGCUUGAGAUGCUUUAACUUCGAUUUUGAGGGGGUGCAAGCUGGGAAGGGUCAAAAGAGGGCAAGGAGGUUAAGAAGUCACUUACCAUAACGUUGAAGUCUUGCCAUCCAGUUGUUCCAUUGCCAUAAGAGAUAUGAAUAUUUUUUCUACCUCCUGUCCACGGUCAGACCGCGCAUUCCACGAACCAUCCUCUGUUGUCAUGAAAUUUGGAGAGACGGAUGACAUUUUGAUCAACUCUUUCCUUUAGAAGGAAGAAUUCAAACGUUGGUCCAUUCAGCAGUUGCUUUAGACCUUCAUUUAGCCAUUGUAACAAGGGAGAAGAGAAUAGGAUCUUUUGUCUUUUUUCCAUAUCUUCUAUGUAUAUUCCAUUGAGCACUUUUCACAUACAGAAAAAGUGUUCUCCUAUUUUGCAACUUUUUAUUUCCAUUAGGUCUGAAUUGGGGGUAAGAAACUGUUUGGAGGGCAUCGGAAAAUAGAUAGAGCAAGGGAAAGAAGAGGCAAUGUGACUGAUCGGAGAGGCUUAGCAUCUGUGAGGGAGGAGGUGGGUGGGGGUGUUAGGAUCGGUGAGGGAGAAGGCUAGGGAGGGAGGGACGAGAGGGGAGGAGAGAGGGGAGAGCAUUUUUUAGAAGUUUGUAAAACUGCUGGAAUUAAACCCUAAUAUUCCACCAAUAUUUUGUUACUGAAAAUCUAAAGCUCAUCCCCAAUUUCAUUA